rnacentral:rRNA from 1 species
GACGAACGCUGGCGGCGUGCUUAACACAUGCAAGUCGAACGGAAAGGCCCUGCUUUUGUGGGGUGCUCGAGUGGCGAACGGGUGAGUAACACGUGAGUAACCUGCCCUUGACUUUGGUAUAACUUCAGGAAACUGGGGCUAAUACCGGAUAGGAGCUCCUGCUGCAUGGUGGGGGUUGGAAAGUUUCGGCGGUUGGGGAUGGACUCGCGGCUUAUCAGCUUGUUGGUGGGGUAGUUGCUUACCAAGGCUUUGACGGGUAGCCGGCCUGAGAGGGUGACCGGCCACAUUGGGACUGAGAUACGGCCCAGACUCCUACGGGAGGCAGAAGUGGGGAAUAUUGCACAAUGGGCGGAAGCCUGAUGCAGCAACGCCGCGUGCGGGAUGACGGCCUUCGGGUUGUAAACCGCUUUCGCCUGUGACGAAGCGUGAGUGACGGUAAUGGGUAAAGAAGCACCGGCUAACUACGUG